rnacentral:lncRNA from 1 species
GGCCUUAUGCCGAUCUGGAUCUUAGCGCCGGUAGCGGUCCGGUUUUCAGGUCGUUACAACCUUUGGAGGCCAAAGGUGCUUCCGCAAACUCCCCAUGUUCGGCGGCCGAACUUGAGGUUCGGCAGCCGAACCUCGGUUUUCUUCCUUGGUAUUUUUCUUUCAAAAACUCAUUUUCUUCUUUAUUAAAACCAUAAAACACAUAAAAACAUUUUAGAAAAUCAUAUUUUACCCUUCUAGAGGGUUUCGACAUCCAAGAUUUCGCCGAAAAGUGGGAAUUCCGAUACCGGAGUCUAGCCAGGUAUUACAUUUAUAUUCUUUAAGGAGGAGUUGGCGAUUUUUC